rnacentral:lncRNA from 1 species
GGGGGGGGUCCACUAGUACUCCACAAACACCUGUGUAAAAAACAUGACCAUCCCUUCUGUAGGACUCUGUAUGAUAAUAAUUCUACAAAAACAAUAAAAUAAAGUUCAUGUUACCAAUUUUCAUCAAUGACAAAUUGUCAAUUUAGAUUUUUUCAUUUGAUUACGGACAUUACGGACAAAUUUUGAAUUUUCCACGGUGUUCAUUAUUUUUGUCAAUAAACUUUUUUUU